UCUCUGCGGUUUACUAUGCGCAGGGUGCUU
rnacentral:piRNA from 1 species